UACGAAGGGGGCUAGCGUUGCUCGGAAUCACUGGGCGUAAAGCGCACGUAGGCGGCUUUUAAGUCAGGGUGAAUCCUGGAGCUCAACUCCAGAACUGCCUUUGAUACUGAGAGCUUGAGUCCGGGAGAGGUGAGUGGGAACUGGCGAGUGUAGAGGUGAAAUUCGUAGAGUAUUCGCAAAGAACACCAGUGGCGAAGGCGGCUCACUGGCCCGGUACUGAACGCUGACGGAGCGAAAGCGUGGGGAGCGAACAGG
rnacentral:rRNA from 1 species